GCGCCGCCCCCUCCGGCCGCCCGGGCCGGCCUUCCCCGCUGACUGACAGCGGGACCUCCUCCCGCGGCCAGCCGGGCCUGGGAAGCGGCGCGGAGGCGGCUCCGGCCCUGCCCAGCGCGCGGCCCCCGGAGCUCAGGCCGGGGAGCGGGGGAGGGGGCGGCGUGCACGGGUUCCAAGCCCGAGGCGAGGCGGGAUAACGGGACCCGGAGGCCGAAAGCGGAGCUGGCCGGCAGGAAUCUACUCAAGGAGUGUGAGAACCAGCUAUUAUCCCAAGAUAGGUCUGCCUGCCUUCCCCAAGUUUCACAAUCUGGCUACACAACCAGACAUGGCCAUCUUUGAGAAAGUCGUAGUCGGGGGCAGAUUCCUUGAAAAGCGUUCUUUGGAUCCUCUGAGUGUUCAUGUCUUGGAGAAGCCUCCCCGGGAGGGAUUGACAUUGUGGGUGUACAGCUCAGAGUUGGUGAAUAUAACGUGAACACUGUUAACUUCAUUACACAUCAUGUAGGUAUUAUAAU
rnacentral:lncRNA from 1 species